rnacentral:sRNA from 1 species
AGGCAGAAAUCACACAUGCACCGGCACAAUUAUCGGGGUGCUAAGCUUUGUUAGUUUAGUCGAUACUUGGGGUGUGUGGAGGUUUAAC